UACGGAGGGUGCGAGCGUUGUCCGGAAUCACUGGGCGUAAAGGGCGCGUAGGUGGCUUAGUAAGCGUGUGGUGAAAGCCCGGGGCUUAACCCCGGGUCUGCCGUGCGAACUGCUAUGGCUAGAGUACUGUAGAGGCAGGUUGAAUUCCGGGUGUAGCGGUGGAAUGCGUAGAUAUCUGGAGGAACACCGGUGGCGAAGGCGGCAUCCUGGACCGAUACUGACGCUGAGGAGCGAAAGCCAGGGGAGCAAACGGA
rnacentral:rRNA from 1 species